UACAGAGGUGGCAAGCGUUGUUCGGAAUUACUGGGCGUAAAGGGCGCGUAGGCGGCCUACUAAGUCAGACGUGAAAUCCCCCGGCUUAACCUGGGAACUGCGUCUGAUACUGGAAGGCUUGAGGAUGGGAGAGGGAUGUAGAAUUCCAGGUGUAGCGGUGAAAUGCGUAGAUAUCUGGAGGAAUACCGGUGGCGAAGGCGGCAUCCUGGACCAUUACUGACGCUGAGGUGCGAAAGCGUGGGGAGCAAACAGGG
rnacentral:rRNA from 1 species